rnacentral:rRNA from 1 species
GUAAAGGCCGGCCGGGCCUAACACAUGCAAGUCGAGCGGUAACAGGAGAAAGCUUGCUUUCUUGCUGACGAGCGGCGGACGGGUGAGUAAUGUAUGGGGAUCUGCCCGAUAGAGGGGGAUAACUACUGGAAACGGUGGCUAAUACCGCAUAAUGUCUACGGACCAAAGCAGGGGCUCUUCGGACCUUGCACUAUCGGAUGAACCCAUAUGGGAUUAGCUAGUAGGUGGGGUAAAGGCUCACCUAGGCGACGAUCUCUAGCUGGUCUGAGAGGAUGAUCAGCCACACUGGGACUGAGACACGGCCCAGACUCCUACGGGAGGCAGCAGUGGGGAAUAUUGCACAAUGGGCGCAAGCCUGAUGCAGCCAUGCCGCGUGUAUGAAGAAGGCCUUAGGGUUGUAAAGUACUUUCAGCGGGGAGGAAGGUGAUAAGGUUAAUACCC